UGUUGAUUUUCUGAAGUCUUUGCUCACACACAUGAUCCAUGUCUGAAUGAUACUACAUGACUCGGGACUUGCUGGGAGACAAGCAAUGUUUGGUGGUCAGGCCAGGUCUCAAAUGAAGCAGUUACUAUCAAUGUCGGGGAAAGUCUGGCUGCUAAACAGCUCUCAAUGCUCAGAUCAGACCCGUCCUCAAUGCUGGCCACUGGCAUUGUGUAAACAGGAGGCUGCGGCUUUACAGAACACCACAGACAACGAGGACCUCAGAAGACCACUUGAGGAGGAAAGCAUGGGAAGAGAUCUGCAAGACCAGACCCAGGCAGGACUGGGUCACAUGGACUCCCACGCGCCUUUGAGCAGCUCACAUCACAGAGCAGAGGCCAUAACUAAAAAUACAAGGAAGGUAUUGUUUCUCUUCCUGGGUCUCCUUACUACAAUCAACCUUCUUCACUC
rnacentral:lncRNA from 1 species